rnacentral:rRNA from 1 species
GCGCCGAUCUCGUCUGUAUCUCGGAAGCUAAGCAGGACAGGCUUGGUUAGUACCUGGAUGGGAGACCGCCUGGGAAUACCAGGUGUUGUAGGCU